rnacentral:rRNA from 1 species
GAUGAACGCUGGCGGCGUGCCUAAUACAUGCAAGUCGAGCGAACGGACGAGAAGCUUGCUUCUCUGAUGUUAGCGGCGGACGGGUGAGUAACACGUGGAUAACCUACCUAUAAGACUGGGAUAACUUCGGGAAACCGGAGCUAAUACCGGAUAAUAUUUUGAACCGCAUGGUUCAAAAGUGAAAGACGGUCUUGCUGUCACUUAUAGAUGGAUCCGCGCUGCAUUAGCUAGUUGGUAAGGUAACGGCUUGCCAAGGCAACGAUGCAUAGCCGACCUGAGAGGGUGAUCGGCCACACUGGAACUGAGACGCGGUCCAGACUCCUAAGGGAGGCAGCAGUAGGGAAUCUUCCGCAAUGGGCGAAAGCCUGACGGAGCAACGCCGCGUGAGUGAUGAAGGUCUUCGGAUCGUAAAACUCUGUUAUUAGGGAAGAACAUAUGUGUAAGUAACUGUGGACAUCUUGACGGUACCUAAUCAGAAAGCCACGGCUAACUACGUG